GGCAUCCAAAGUCUUGCAUUCCAUUCCACACCUUUGUGACUAGUCGAUUGUUUGGCCCACACGCACACACGCUCAAAUUGCAAUUUAAUUCGAUGGCUUAAAGUGUCUUUGUCAUAAGUUUUGUCUGUCGGGUCUCUUUUUUCCUCGGCCUAUCGCUCACUGUCAAGACCAUCAUUCAAUUAACAUAAUUAACCGGCAAAGGGGAUUAGCAAGCUGUGUUUUGGGACUGACACUUUGUCGACGACCAUUUGGACAAUUCAAGCCAAUACGAAACAAUCUCCCCCGAAGCCGUGCGAUAAUGGUUUCAUUCGGACGGCUUAUUCGAGUCACAGGGGCAAGGUCAGGGGCAGAUCGUAAAGAUCCCGAAAUCACAUUUUCAUUUUCCCUUCAUGGCAUAGAACAAGCUCACCACGGCAAGGUCAUUAAUAGCACUUAAAAUAGCGAUUUCCUGUCACUGAAAAUGAGAACAAAAAGUACGAGCCAGUAAACUAAGUAAAUUAAGGAGAAAUGGAAAGUUUCGCCCAGUAUGUCAGCGCAAAAAAGCGAAAGGUGGUCGCCCAAAAGAGCCUUCGCGAAAAAAUCAUUGACGAUGAGAUAAAAAGAUUGACCGUAAAACGUUUUGCCAACAAUGGAAUGUUAAAGCCUUUAAAUAUGAGUGCAGAAUAUUAAAAGGGAAACCACUUAGA